CCUACGGGUGACUGCAGUGAGGAAUAUUGGUCAAUGGGCGCUAGCCUGAACCAGCCAAGUAGCGUGAAGGAUGACUGCCCUACGGGUUGUAAACUUCUUUUAUAUAGGAAUAAAGUGAAGCAUGUAUGCCUUUUUGUAUGUACCUUAUGAAUAAGGAUCGGCUAACUCCGUGCCAGCAGCCGCGGUAAUACGGAGGAUCCGAGCGUUAUCCGGAUUUAUUGGGUUUAAAGGGAGCGUAGAUGGGUUGUUAAGUCAGUUGUGAAAGUUUGCGGCUCAACCGUAAAAUUGCAAUUGAUACUGGCAGCCUUGAGUACAGUAGAGGUAGGCGGAAUUCGUGGUGGAGCGGUGAAAUGCUUAGAUAUCACGAAGAACUCCGAUUGCGAAGGCAGCUUACUAAACUGUGACUGACAUUGAUGCUCGAAAGUGUGGGUAUCAAACAGGAUUAGAUACCCGGGUAGUC
rnacentral:rRNA from 1 species